AGGACGAACGCUGGCGGCGUGCUUAACACAUGCAAGUCGAGCGGUAAGGCCUUUCGGGGUACACGAGCGGCGAACGGGUGAGUAACACGUGGGUGAUCUGCCCUGCACUUCGGGAUAAGCCUGGGAAACUGGGUCUAAUACCGGAUAUGACCUCAGGUUGCAUGACUUGGGGUGGAAAGAUUUAUCGGUGCAGGAUGGGCCCGCGGCCUAUCAGCUUGUUGGUGGGUAAUGGCCUACCAAGGCGACGACGGGUAGCCGACCUGAGAGGGUGACCGGCCACACUGGGACUGAGACACGGCCCAGACUCCUACGGGAGGCAGCGAGUGGGGAAUACGUGCACAAGUGGGCGAAAGCCUGAUGCAGCGACGCCGCGUGGAGGAUGACGGCCUUCGGGUUACGUAAACCUCUUUCAGCGAGGACGAAGCGACAAGUGACCGGUACGUAGCGAAGAAGAA
rnacentral:rRNA from 1 species